ACAGCAGUCGCCGCGGUAAUACGUAGGUGGCAAGCGUUGUCCGGAAUUAUUGGGCGUAAAGGGCUCGCAGGCGGUUUCUUAAGUCUGAUGUGAAAGCCCCCGGCUCAACCGGGGAGGGUCAUUGGAAACUGGGAAGCUUGAGUGCAGAAGAGGAGAGUGGAAUUCCACGUGUAACGGUGAAAUGCGUAGAGAUGUGGAGGAACACCAGUGGCGAAGGCGACUCUCUGGUCUGUAACUGACGCUGAGGAGCGAAAGCGUGGGGAGCGAACAGGAUUAGAUACCCCUGUAGUCCCUGUCUCUUAUAC
rnacentral:rRNA from 1 species